rnacentral:rRNA from 1 species
UAAGCAUAUCAAUAAGCGGAGGAAAAGAAACCAACAGGGAUUGCCCUAGUAACGGCGAGUGAAGCGGCAAAAGCUCAGAUUUGAAAUCUUUUUAUUUUAAAUAAAACGAAUUGUAAUCUGUAGAAGGUUGAAUGGCUGAAAUAUCUGAUUUAAAUUUCCUGGAAUGGAAUAUCAUAGAGGGUGAGAAUCCCGUGAGCAUCAGGAACUAAGCCACUUAAUUCACCUUUCGACGAGUCGAGUUGUUUGGGAAUGCAGCUCUAAAUGGGUGGUAAAUUUCAUCUAAAGCUAAAUACCUGCCAGAGACCGAUAGCGAACAAGUAGAGUGAUCGAAAGAUGAAAAGCACUUUGAAAAGAGAGUUAAAAAGUACGUGAAAUUGUUGAAAGGGAAGCGCUUGCGAUUAGACUUGAUGUUUGAAUUCGAGCAAUCUACGGAUUCGCUUCACUUUUCUUCCAUCAGGCCAGCAUCAGUUUGGCGGGAUCUAUAAAGGCAGUCGGAAUGUAGUAAUCACUUCGGUGGUCAUGUUAUAGCCUUCUGCAGCAUACAUCCAUGCUGGACUGAGGUCUGCUCUUUUUGAAAGGAUGCUGGCAUAAUGAUCGUAAGCGACCCGUCUUGAA